rnacentral:lncRNA from 1 species
CACUUUUUUACACAUUUCCCUUCUGUUUCUGACAAAAAUAUCGUAUCUUGAGCUCUCCUUUACACUAUUUACGUUUCUUUUACAAUCCGGAAAAAUCAGUAUGACGAGAUAUUCUAAAUAUAUCCAACCUACAUUGUAUUUAAUAGUGACGUCAUUCUUGAAAUGCCACACUAUGCAGAAGCAGGGAUAUCCUUCACUGGUUAUUUAAAUCAUUCUCAGAGAUCGUGC